UACGUAGGGUGCAAGCGUUAAUCGGAAUUACUGGGCGUAAAGCGUGCGCAGGCGGUUAUGUAAGACAGGUGUGAAAUCCCCGGGCUUAACCUGGGAACUGCAUUUGUGACUGCAUAGCUAGAGUACGGUAGAGGGGGAUGGAAUUCCGCGUGUAGCAGUGAAAUGCGUAGAUAUGCGGAGGAACACCGAUGGCGAAGGCAAUCCCCUGGACCUGUACUGACGCUGAGGUGCGAAAGCGUGGGGAGCAAACAGG
rnacentral:rRNA from 1 species